rnacentral:rRNA from 1 species
UACGAAGGGGGGCUAGCGUUAAUCGGAAUUACUGGGCGUAAAGGGUGCGUAGGCGGUUCGUUAAGUCUGUUGUGAAAUCCCCGGGCUCAACCUGGGAAUGGCAAUGGAUACUGGCGAGCUAGAGUGUGAUAGAGGAUGGUGGAAUUCCCGGUGUAGCGGUGAAAUGCGUAGAGAUCGGGAGGAACAUCAGUGGCGAAGGCGGCCAUCUGGAUCAACACUGACGCUGAAGCACGAAAGCGUGGGGAGCAAACAGGG